rnacentral:sRNA from 1 species
AGUUCAUAUUUUUUAAAUGUACUUCUAAACUAAUAUUAGUAGGAUUAAUAAAAUUUGAACUUUAAAUAUUUUUUAUAUAUUUUAUAAAUCCUCAGAUAAUCAAUAAUCAUUUCUCGACUUUCAUCUUUUUCUCAAAUUCUCGACAAUGGUUUCUUUAUCCUCAAAAAUCUGAUCUGUCGUCGUACUAUUCUUGUUCAGUUCAACUCAAUCUAUGCCGGAAAAGUGCACUUAUCGCUUUACGCCAGAAAUUUCAUAUUGGAAGAAAACGCUGAUCUUCAACGUAAAAUCGGCGAAGCUGGCGGCUACUUGGCGAUGCCUCCAGAUUUCAACUAUAAACCGCGAAGAGAGGUAUAUAGUUGACUUAAUUUCAAUGGAUUUUAGGUUACUCGUGUGAAAUCUUUGAAGAACUAAUUAAGAUGGAUAAGAGGCGAGAGUUGAUAGUAAUCUUUGACUUUAAUUUCCGUAUCUUUUAAGAAUUGAUUAGGUUUUUAGGUUUUUUAGGCUUGGUUACUCAAGAUUUUGCAUGAUUGCUUGAAUCACGAUUGAUUAGAGGCAAGAAUUUUUGUGAAUUGAUAAAAUCAGUACAUUGUUUCAUAGCAGUUGAUGUGAAGUACAUUUUUUGGCGGAAAAAAUCAUUUUUUCAUUUUGUUGAUUUAAGUAUUUUCAAAUAGAAGCAAAAUAGUCAUUAA